rfam:Lactobacillus shenzhenensis LY-73 genomic scaffold LY73.Scaffold1, whole genome shotgun sequence.
CAAGCUGAGCAGCGAUGCCCAGCCAGCUGUACAGAAGUCAGCCGAGGUCAUAGUAGCUGUCCUCAGGGGCAGUGAAGGAC